rnacentral:rRNA from 1 species
UACGUAGGGGGCAAGCGUUGUCCGGAAUCAUUGGGCGUAAAGAGCGCGUAGGCGGCCCGGUAAGUCCGUUGUGAAAGUCAAAGGCUCAACCUUUGAAUGCCGAUGGAUACUGCCGGGCUCGAGUCCGGAAGAGGCGAGUGGAAUUCCUGGUGUAGCGGUGGAAUGCGCAGAUAUCAGGAGGAACACCGAUAGCGAAGGCAGCUCGCUGGGACGGUACUGACGCUGAGGCGCGAAAGCGUGGGGAGCGAACAGG